rnacentral:lncRNA from 1 species
GUCACAUAAAUGCGCAUUCGAAUUUAAGAAGGUAGAUUAUGAAAGUAACCACCUAAAGCAACUACGCGUUUGCACUUUGCAACGGCCAUGGAAUUUGCUAAGUAGCACGCCUCAAAUUCGACGGUUGAGUUAAAGCUAAUUAAAACGAGGGCCAUAUAAUUGAAAUUUGUUCGGCAUGGCGCGCCUCGAAUUAUUUCAAAAGAUUUGCAUUCAACUAAAACGAUCUAUGGAUGUUCAUAUUUAAAGGAUUUAAAUGGAACACUUUGUACCUACUGUGCAGCAGCAAAUAUUUAAUCCCAGCACCUCAAAAGUUAAUCCUACAGAUGAUCGACCAACAACAGCAACA